CAUUAUAUUAGAAUAAAGUUAUGAGUUUUCUGUGAAAUACGGUUCUUAGCUCUGUCAUCCCUCCGUCCCUCAUUGUGAAGUUCAAUCUCCUUCGGAUCCUGACAACCACCUCGUGCAUACUCAAUGAGCUAUUUUACAAUGCUAAAGGACUAAUUAAAGAUUCCUGUGGACAUCCUCUCUGCACUACACUGGUGUAUGUGUCAAACUUGUUAUUAACCUACAUUUUACGUUUGAUAAAAUAACUUUUAAUAAUCUCAAUUAAAUUUGAACUGCAUCUUGCCUGAGUUAAACGCGCAACGACACCGAGAAUCUACAGUUGUCAAAAGUUGUUCUGUAUAUAUCCACAAAUACGCUCCACAAGACCUUAACUAUUUUCGGAUUGAAGCCAUCCAAGUCAGGAGCUUUCUUAUCCUUAAUUCUCUGAAUAGCGUUAUUUUCUUCAGCUAUACUGUCAUUGGGAGUAAACUUCUCAAACAAAAGUUUAACAGAUUCCGUCCGUGAGGUAGUUUUGCUGUCAAUUAGAGAGGAUCAAAGCCCCCAUAUAGGAAUGCCAGUCUUUGCAAUAGCACCAAUACUUAGCCCGAUAUAUGGUAGCCAAUAAUUGGCCAAUACUUGGUAUUCUAUUCUGGACCAUGUCUGGCGUAUACUGGAUACCAUUGAUUUCCACAACUUGACAUAACCUUGUCGUUAUGUCAACUUCUUCGGUCACUAGAUGUCGCGUUUCUAACUCUAUUGUACAGUAUAUACAGUAGCGCAACUCUGUGUCGGCCAUGGAGGACCUGGAGAGAGCAUUAAGAGGAUGCUGGAGUGC